AUGUGGUUACAAGAGUCCGGUUGCAGUGUCUGCAGCUCUGAAAGCUUGCCUUGCCCCUUCUGAGAGAGGGAGGGGACUGAUGUGAUCCACUUGCCAUCGUGCUGCUGGAGUCUGUGCUUGGUCAGUAUGUCUCAUCCAGUGAGGUAACUGUCACAGUCAUUGGAGUGAGCACGAUGGACCCUCGUGGGUGAUGUUCAUGCGCUGAUGGGCGCCGGAAACGCCGGAAGGGAUGGAGCGAGCUGGAGAAGCAGAAGAAACCUCUGGCACUGGGAGGUUGAUGCAGAGUGUUUAUCAAGACCCCUGCGACGAAAAGGGAGACGCAUGAUAAUGAUAAAAAAACAAUAAUAACAACGUCCUAAGGUACUAAAAUAAAAGAGCCAUUAAAAAAGCCAGGACGACCACGUCGCAUUCACUCUUCUCUAAGUGGUCCACGUUGCACACAGGACAUUCGCACCAACAGGGGGCACAGCGACUGUCGCAACCGCGAACGGUCUGGAGGAAGCGCGGGGAGCAGGACACAGCGUGGAAACUACAACUCCCUCCAAAUCCGAGCGAGCCGCCUCCGUAACUUCCGCUUCCGCCGCCGGCCUCACGUACCCUUCUUUCCAUCGGACCUACC
rnacentral:lncRNA from 1 species